AAAAAAGACAGAGGAUUGGGAUUUUUUUUUCUUCAUAGGGUUUUGAGAAGACUGAGGCAAUCGUUGCUGAAGUCAGUGUUGUACUAGUGAAUCAGGAUUUUAAUGAAGUGGGUGUUAUUACUCUUGACUGUUUUGUGAAAUCGAAGUUACGUCUAUGAUUGAAGGAUUAAAAGGAUGUCUAUAGGAUUAAGUAUGUGAAGUGAAUAAAAUUUUUUGGAUUAAUCUAACAAGACAGUCAAUAGAUACAAGAUCGUGAGUAUAAAGCAGUAUCGAAGAUUAGC
rnacentral:lncRNA from 1 species